UACAUAAGAACCUACCUUUUGGUAUGGGAUAACUAUUGGAAACGAUAGCUAAUACCAUAUAUUGCUGAGAAGUGAAACUAUUAAGGGCCAAGAGAUGGGCUUAUGCCUGAUUAGCUAGUUGGUAUGAUAAUAGCAUACCAAGGCAAAGAUCAGUAGCUGUUCUGAGAGGAUGAUCAGCCACACUGGGACUGAGACACGGCCCAGACUCCUACGGGAGGCAGCAGUGAGGAAUUUUCCGCAAUGGGCGAAAGCCUGACGGAGCAAUGCCGCGUGAAGGAAGACAGCUUACGGGUUGUAAACUUCUUUUCUCAGAAAAGAAAAAAAUGACGGUAUCUGAGGAAUAAGCAUCGGCUAACUCUGUG
rnacentral:rRNA from 1 species